rnacentral:rRNA from 1 species
GUAGGAGGCGAGCGUUAUCCGGAUUUACUGGGCGUAAAGCGUGUGCAGGCGGGUUUGGUAAGUCGGACGUGAAAGCUCCUGGGCUCAACUAGGAGAGGCCGUUCGAUACUGCCAGACUAGAGGGCAGCAGAGGGAGGUGGAAUUCCAGGUGUAGCGGUGAAAUGCGUAGAUAUCUGGAGGAACACCAGUGGCGAAAGCGGCCUCCUGGACUGUCCCUGACGCUAAGACACGAAAGCUAGGGGAGCAAACGGGAUUAGAAACCCCGGUAGUCCUAGCCGUAAACGAUGCAGACUUGUGUUGGUGGUGUAAAAAUCAUCAGUGCCGUAGCUAACGCGAUAAGUCUGCCGCCUGGGGACUACGACCGCAAGGUUA